rnacentral:rRNA from 1 species
CCUACGGGAGGCAGCAGUAAGGAAUAUUGGUCAAUGGACGCAAGUCUGAACCAGCCAUGCCGCGUGAAGGAUGAAUGCCCUCUGGGUUGUAAACUUCUUUUAUAGGGGACGAAAAAGGGUCUUUUCAGAUCAACUGACGGUACCCUAGGAAUAAGCACCGGCUAACUCCGUGCCAGCAGCCGCGGUAAUACGGAGGGUGCAAGCGUUAUCCGGAUUUACUGGGUUUAAAGGGUGCGUAGGUGGGUUGGUAAGUCAGCGGUGAAAUCUUCGAGCUUAACUCGGAAACUGCCAUUGAUACUAUCAGCCUUGAAUAUCCUGGAGGUGAGCGGAAUAUGUCAUGUAGCGGUGAAAUGCUUAGAUAUGACAUAGAACACCAAUUGCGAAGGCAGCUCACUACGGGAUUAUUGACACUGAGGCACGAAAGCGUGGGGAUCAAACAGGAUUAGAUACCCUGGUAGUCCACGCCCUAAACGAUGGAUACUCGACAUUUGCGAUAUACAGUAAGUGUCUGAGCGAAAGCAUUAAGUAUCCCACCUGGGAAGUACGAUCGCAAGAUUGAAACUCAAAAUAGAAGUUAGUACGGACGUGAGACGUACGACCGACGGACGACGACGAGGGGAGGGUUAGGGAG